rnacentral:ncRNA from 1 species
CAAAGGUUUGGUCCUGACUUUUCUGCCAACUCUAGCUAAACUUACACAUGCAAGUAUCCGCGCCCCCGUGAGAAUGCCCUAUAGUUCCCUGCCCGGAAACAAGGAGCUGGUAUCAGGCACACUCAAUUCAUGCCCACGACACCUUGCUCAGCCACACCCCCAAGGGUACUCAGCAGUGAUAAACCUUGACACAUAAGUGAAAACUUGACUCAGUUAAAGCUAAGAGGGCCGGUAAAACUCGUGCCAGCCACCGCGGUUAUACGGGAGGCCCAAGUUGUUAGAAAUCGGCGUAAAGGGUGGUUAAGAACAAGCUUGACACUAAAGCCGAACGCCUUCCGGGCUGUUAUACGCAUCCGAAGGUAAGAAGUUCAAUUACGAAAGUAGCUUUAUAUAUUCUGACCCCACGAAAGCUAAGACACAAACUGGGAUUAGAUACCCCACUAUGCUUAGCCAUAAACAUUGACAGUUUAGUACAUUUUCUGUCCGCCCGGGUACUACGAGCAUUAGCUUAAAACCCAAAGGACUUGGCGGUGCUUUAGACCCACCUAGAGGAGCCUGUUCUAGAACCGAUAAUCCCCGUUCAACCUCACCCUUCCUUGCUCGUCCCGCCUAUAUACCACCGUCGCCAGCUUACCCUGUGAAGGGUAAAAAGUAAGCAAAAUUGGCAUUGCCCAGUACGUCAGGUCGAGGUGUAGCGAAUGGAGGGGGAAGAAAUGGGCUACAUUCCCUCAAUAACACAGGGAACUACGGAAGAUGCACUGAAACCCGUGCAUCUGAAGGAGGAUUUAGCAGUAAGCGGAAAGUAGAGUGUUCCACUGAAACCGGCUCUUAAGCGCGCACACACCGCCCGUCACUCUCCCCGAAACUUUACCCAAACAUUAAUUAAAAUGCCAAAAUCAUAGAGGGGAGGCAAGUCGUAACAUGGUAAGUGUACCGGAAGGUGCACUUGGAUAAC